AUUGAACGCUGGCGGCAGGCUUAACACAUGCAAGUCGAACGAGUGGCGGACGGGUGAGUAAUGCUUGGGAAUCUACCUUAUGGAGGGGGAUAACUACGGGAAACUGUAGCUAAUACCGCAUACCAUAGGAUGAGCCCAAGUGGGAUUAGGUAGUUGGUGAGGUAAAGGCUCACCAAGCCGACGAUCUCUAGCUGGUCUGAGAGGAUGACCAGCAACACUGGGACUGAGACACGGCCCAGACUCCGACGGGAGGCAGCAGUGGGGAAUAUUGCACAAUGGGCGCAAGCCUGAUGCAGCCAUGCCGCGUGUAUGAAGAAGGCCUUCGGGUUGUAAAGUACUUUCAGUCGGGAGGCGUUACCGACAUAAGAAGCACCGGCUAACUCCGUGCCAGCAGCCGCGGUAAUAC
rnacentral:rRNA from 1 species